UACGAAGGGGGCGAGCGUUGUUCGGAAUUACUGGGCGUAAAGGGCGCGUAGGCGGCCGAUCAAGUCAGAUGUGAAAGUCCUGGGCUUAACCUGGGGACUGCAUUUGAUACUGAUUGGCUUGAAUGCAGGAGAGGAUAGCGGAAUUCCCAGUGUAGAGGUGAAAUUCGUAGAUAUUGGGAAGAACACCGGUGGCGAAGGCGGCAUCCUGGACCGGUAUUGACACUGAGGCGCGAAAGCCAGGGAGCAAACGGG
rnacentral:rRNA from 1 species